rnacentral:lncRNA from 1 species
UUUUUUGGGAAUAAAGUUGGGUGGAAUAUAGUAAGUUAGUAAGCAUUAAAAGACGUGAAAUGGAACAUGAACAUAUUGGUACAUGCAUAUUACUUUACCGAACCAAUUAAAUCCACAUUCUAUUAAGUAUCAAGAUUGGAUGGACCUAUUAUCGCUGACAUUCUGACAAAGAUGUAAAGAGAAAAAGGGUUAUAGGCUGCCUAUGUGCCUGUUCACCCAGUCUAACUAGCAAACUCUUAUAGUUUGACCAAGUAAAUAUCACUGUGCAACAUAUUUUCUCAACAAAUAAUAAUUCAGCUUUGUAACUGUAAAAAUAUUAAUGCUUUUGUUUAUGCUUUUAUAGUAACAUAAAUAAUCUCUGCAAGUAUCAUUUGUAGUGUUACAUCCAUAACUCCUAUUUAAUGUAUAAACUGAACGUCCUUUUAAAAUGUGGUUAUCCCCGUCCUAAUUUAAUAUAUACUUAGUUUUUCCUAUUCUAGUAUAAGAAUACCUAUAUACAAAUCUUUAACUUCAAGAUACUUAUUUUUCUUUGAUUAUAACUAUCAUGAAAUGUAGUUAAAACAGUUCUUAUAAUCAUCCCCAUAAACAAAAGCUCGAUUAUGCCUAUGAUUUUUAUGAUGCUGUUAUAGUAUCUUCGCCCUUUGUCCCCCGGAAAUUGAUAGAUAAAUUUUGAUCUGUCAUUUGUUCCCUGACCUACUCACCCUCUUCUCUCAUCUUCACGACCUAACUUGAGAAGAAAUUAAUUAUUUCAUUAUUAUUGUUCACUUCUUGCAAGAGCCAAACUCUGAAUCUAUCGAAGAGGAUGUUUUUCUGCGUAUGCUUGUGUAAGUGGUACUCAUACAUCAGUUAUUCUUCCAGGAGUAUAUUUAACAUAGUUGAUGAUGACCCUACCCCAAGAGAAGAAGUUUUUAUGUAUGGCCAAAGUUUGGUUGAGAAAAAAUGGCCGGGUCACACAAGACAAUUAGCCUCUCAUGAAAGGGUAGAAUUAUCAUAUUCUAAGGUGAAUGUAAGAGGUGACAAAAGAGUAUCGAAUGCUCGUAUGAAGAAAGAACUAGGAGUGCAGCUGCAACAUCCUAGUUAUAGGUCUGGAUUGCAAAGUAUUCUUGAGCAUCUGGACCCUUCCAUGAACACCCCCGGGUAAUGUUGCAGAAUCUAAAUGUCUUCGAUUGAUCCAAGACGAUACUAUUUACAGGUAACACAUACAUUUUAGUAAGAAUUUAGUAUCUCCUCUCCAGAUUUGGAGACAGACUCCGACUUUUCAAGUUAGUUUGUGUUGUUGAACAGUUAUCCUAUUAAUUCAAGGUUUGAAAUUAUGUAAUAAUAAAUACUUCUACACUUCUACCAAGAUGAUACAUUAACGAAUCAUAUGUUAGCAAAUGCGAAUUUGGUAACAUAUUCCUAACAUAGAACAAUGAAAAAAUCCUAGACGGGUUUAGACAAUAUAUCUGUCAAAUCCUAAUACCUAUCUGGAUAAGGAAAAUCCAAAUCCCAGUCAACUUUUUACCUUAACAAGAGCAACAUAUUGGAUGAUACUAAUAAUUUUAUUCUGAUUUUUGCUACCCAAUCUAAAUUACUGCUUUAUCAUAUUUCUCCUGUUAAUACUAAUAUGAUAAUGACAAGACGAACUUCUAAUUCUUUUUUCUCAUCAUUAAUACAUGCUUUAAUUUGUUUGCCUGGGAGGAAUUAUCUGGUAGAGGACCUUGUUUUGGAUUUGUGAAAUUUAUCCCAAAAUUAAAAUAAUUUAAAUGAUCACCUUUUUCCCCUUUUGCAGGAAAAGAAGUCCUUUUGUGGAUCCCCUGAUGAGUUUGAAAUAUCAAUCAGGCACGUGCUCUCAUGGAAUAUACGAUCAGUUUCACAAAGAAAUGCAUCUCAUGAUUAUCCGUUUAUACAACAAAAUGGUAGAACUUUUAAUAACAGCGAUGUUAGCAAUCAAAAUAAGGAACUGAGGAAAACAGCAUUGAUUUUCCAUCAGAUGACGAUAUUUAUAACCUGAUUCUGGAAACUUUUGUUUCAAACCUGUAUGCAAGCCUAAUAUAACACCACCCUCAAAGUGCAUACAUUUUACAGAGAGAAACAAGUCAUGUAUUUAACUCUUCAGCUCUGCCUGGAUGCAUAAACUCAGCAACUAUCCCUCUAGUUACAAAGGUACAAAAUCCAGCUCCAUGUCUCAAUUUAGACCUAUAUCAUGUUGUCACACUCUUUACAAGUGUAUCUCUAAGCUUUUGGCGGGUCUUAUGAAAAAUGUAAUGAUUAGCAUUAUCUCAUCCUGUCAAGCUGCUUUAAUUCCAUGCAGAAAGAUCGGGAAUAAUAUUUGGGAGCUGAUAAAUGCACACCCUCGUUUUUUAGCGAUGUUGAGAUCAAAUUACUCCUCAUGCACAUCUUAAUCUUUAAAGUAUCUUUAUGCAUUGCAGGGUAUUUUGGUCUCAAUGCCAGCACCUUAAUUUAGAGAAUUUAGAGGGGUGUAUUGGAUUGGGAUUUUAAAACAUUUUUUUGCAUUCAUGAAAUCCGAGGAUAUUCGAUUGGGAUUGUUUGAAAGCCAUUAAAAUUUUGAGGUAUUCAAUUGGGAUUUUAAAUUAUGCUACAAAAUCUGGUGAUAUUCAAUUGGGAUUUUAAAUUAUGCUUUAAAAUUCGAUGGUAUUCAAUGGUAUUGUUUAAAAUCCAUUAAAAUCUGAUGGUAUUCAAAUGUUGAUGGAUUUUUUUGCAUUUUAUAAAAUGAUGGAUUUUGUGGCAUUUUUCAGUGUAUUUUAAGUUUUUUGAAAUUCCAUCAAAAUCAAUGGGAUUUUGAAGCAUUGUGCUUAAAUCCUAUCAAGUCUGCGACGUUUUGUCAAGAAUCCACGCAAAAUCAAGAUCGCAUACAAUCCAUUAAAAUCUCUAUAGAUAAAAAAACGAUCCAUUAAAAUUCCAAUCGAAUACACCCCCGUUAAUCAAUUAUGGGGCCAAAAUCAAAUAUUUUCAAUUACCUCUCUUUUUCCUGAAUUUUGUUAUUAUGGCCCAAAUAAUAUUACAUAACUAAAUUACGUGUAAUUUCGUUGUUGUGGUCCUUGUGGAUGAGGGACCAGAUGUCCAUGCAUAUUUAGAAACUUGAUUGAUAAAAAAACGACAAGGCAGGCCAAGUAGUGUAGAAUUACGUGCUUUCUGUUUAUGAGGAAAACCAACACCGCACCAGCUUUAUCCGCUUUUUCAACAGGCCUUCUCAGUUCUCACUGUUUUUUCCUAUCUGUUGAACAAGUGAACAAUUUUGUUUUUUCGUUAUUAUUCUCUCCAUUUAACUUAUACGCAUUCUCGGAGCCCCAUUUAUAUCGUAACUUUAAACUGGUUUUACCUUUUUUCUUUUCUAAAUUCGUAUUUUACGCUCGUGAAAUUAUUUGUUCUAAUGCUUUUAGAACUGAGCCAGAGUCGAAACCAAGUAUCCCGAGACAAUAAAGGAUAAAUAUCGAAAUCAAGUAUCCCGAGACAAUAAAGAAUAAAUCUAUCACUGGUUUAUCCAAUCGUGUUCGUGAAAUUGUUAUUAUCGUCCGAAUAGCAAGUAUUGCAUCAUGUAAUUACGUGUAUUAUCGUCGUUGUGGAUGACAGACGAGAUGUACAUGCAUAUCUGGAAUCUUGAUUGAUCGAAAAACGACAGGUCAGAGCAAGUAGAAUUACGUGCUUUCGGUUUGUGUGGAAAACCAGCAUCGCUCGCAACAGCUAUAUGACUAUGUGGGUGUUUGGCUAGCCAAAUUAAGCACUUCUUUUUAUUAUAAGCUGGCUUAUACUUUUUGUGGUGUGUUUGGGUGCAGAAGUCCACAUGACUUCUUUGCUGAUUUAAGUUAAGAAUCGAGAAGUUAGAAAGUGUAGCUUCUUCCUCUAACUUAUUUUUUGCAAGUCUCCACUACAUUGUAAAUUAACUAGCAUGUGAUGUUUUAAAUUUAUAUUUAAAUAAAUUAAAUGUAAUUUAAAUUUCAUAUGUUAAAUUUAUACUUAUAGAAAUUAGUUUUUAUUUAAAUUUAUAAUUUAAAUUAUUAAACACUCUACCAACUUAUAAGUUAAAUUAUCCAAACACUUUAAACACUUAUAAUAUCUUUACAACUUAUUACUUAUAAUUCACUUCUCAACUUUAAGCAAUAAGUAACUUCUUUUAAGUUCCGCCAAACAUCCCCUAUAUCUCGUUUUGUACAGGGCCUAUUGUCUACGAGUAUAGUUGGAAAAAUAGGAAAUCGGAAUCAAUUAAUAAAAGUGGGGAUUAAUUAGAUAACAAUCAGAUAAUUCAUAUAAUAAUAUUUAAAAUAAUAAUUUUAAUAAUACGGUUGAAAUAUUCAAAAAUAUGUGUCAAAAAAUACACCGUAUGUUUUAAAAUGGAGAUAAUAUAAUUAUCACAGAAUAGUAUUUCAACUACUCAUUUAUUUAUUCACCAAUCAGGUUCGACAAUUUUUUAUCAAAUUAUCUGAACGUGUGACUACUGAGUUAUAUAUCAUUUUCGGUAAAAUUAAUUCUAUUAUUUUAAUAGGAAGAAUUGAAAUGUAAAAUGCGGGAGUAGAGGAAUUAUAUAAUUUAAUUUUAUAAAUAUUACUAUUAUUGUUACCGGAUAAUUAUCAUGCAAGUGUGACAUGGAGGGGAUAUACAUGGAGCUGUAAAGGUGUGGCACCAUGCUAUUGGAAAUCGAAAACUACACUUUGUCCAUUAUAUAUGUCGGUUAGCUCAAUCACAUAUAUCAAUUUAAUAUUGACAAGUUGUUGAGCUUGCACCUAGUGGUGCUUGGAUUUUUUUUGGAAAAUAAUAUUAUCUUGUUUUCGAUUAUAAUAAAAUACACAUAAUUUAUUAUCAUAUUAAAUUGAUAUAUUUUAUUUAUAAUAGUCUAAAUAUUAAUAAUAUAUUAUUUUUAAAUUAUAACCAACCAAUAUAGUCGAUAAUACCAUUAAAACAAUAUGUAUUACAAGUUCAUCAAAUUUUACGUAAAGUCUUGCAUGUCCAAUUUAAUCGACGAUUAAACUAACUUCGUUGGAGAUGUUCUUAACGUGACAAAAAUUAAUGCUCACAAUCCAUCCGUUUCUAAUUAAUCGUCAUUUGUUGAUUUGUAAUGAAUUAAUUGACUAUAAUACCCUAAAAAUGUUUUAUUAUCAUAUAAAUAGUUAAAAAUAAAUUAUUUUCACAUAUUUUCUUUAAAUUUUAGUUUAAUAAUUUAAAUUGUCGAGUGGAUGAGUAAGUACGGAAGCUAGGAGUCGAAAACGCAUUUAAUGCGGUCUACAAGUACUACGUUGGGCAAUUAUGCCACGAAGAGGACGUGCAACAAGGGAAAGAUGACACGUGUCCUUGGAAAUAUACUCUCUGCAGUAUCGAGAUGCCGCUUCUUGUCCACCUCAUCAUUAUCAUCGCUAUCUUCAUACAUUACCUUAGUCAACUUAUGGCCAUUUUUUUUCUCUAUUUAAUACAGUAACUAUACUCAACUUCGAGAUUAUUAUAUCCAGGAUUCCUUCCUUUCAUGUUUUGCCCUCAACUUUGGUUUUUGAACAGUUUUAGUCCAUUUGCAAGCAUAACUAUAAUUCAAAAUAUAUUAUUUAAAGACGAAUAUUCACAUUUACCCGCUCGCAUUAGAACUUAUUUUAAUUUUUUGGAAAUGAUUCAAUCAAAUAUAGUGCAGGAUUAUAUUUAGAAAAAAAUAUGGAUUCAAUUAUAUUUUGAUCCAAUAUUAUUUUAAAUAAUUUAUUAAAAAUGAUAUUCAACGUUAAUGAAUGACAUCAGACUACUCCAUGAAAAAAUCACACGAAUUCAAAAUCAAAAUUAAUGGGAACCAUCAUAGCUCCUCUCUUAUUGAUUAAGAAAAUUCAUACAUCUAUAUAAAAAAAUGAUAUCAGAUCUAUAUUCAAAUUCAAUAAAUUUAAAUUAUAAGAUGAUUUAGUGAUCAAUUAUAUUGCAUGGGUCGCAUUGCGUAAGCCUAGAUAUUAUAAAAGGUAAGUACUGCAAACUAACAUCUAUGAUUAAAUGUCUCACAUAAAAUUUAUCAUCGUCAAAAUUAUAUCGACAUCAAUCUUUUUCUAUCGUAUCUAACACGUACAUAACACUUCUAUGAUUAAACAGUUAAUUGUAAAAUCUAGUCUCGUUUUUAAAAGUGAUUUCAGAUUUUUUUAUACUCUCAAGUCUUAACAUGUUCCUAUCGAUUAUGAACCUGGAUCACUUUAGCAACCAAGUUCAUAUCGUCCCUUACAUUUCAUAUAACCCUGACACAACAUGAUCACAUGUACAUGCAUUGAAGUACACCAGACAGUGCCCCUCAAAUCACAAAGAAAAUAUAUACGAAAAUGAAACUCUGUCCCUUGAUAGCAUGAACUUGGCCGUAGUAUGAUACAUUGUUCAUUGAUCUCAUGCUCCUUAUUCACAAGAAAAUCAACAACCUCCAAGUACUAACAAAUAAAGCAUAUCAGAUAAAAACAACAGUGCACGAGGCAUAUAAUGUGAACAAUAUGCAUGGUACUUGUGAUGAGUGGCAGGACUGUAAUUUCAAAGAUAACGGGAUUAAUUAAAAUCACACAUAUGCAUAUGGAAAAACUGUUACGAUUAUUAGCGUCAUUUAGACUUUAGCUUCUGAGUGACCUCCUUAUUUUGUUUUCUGUGUUAUCAUAACAAUCACAACAACAAACUGGGGCAUAUAUUUACAGUGUUCUUUUUACCGUGGUUAAACAAUAGUAAAAGAAGUGACGUAAAAUGUCGACAUUUCACAUGUAGUAUAUUAUAGGGGAUAUGCUUUAAUUCCUUAUUUAAAAGACUCUGGUACCAAAGUACUUGCAUAUUCAGUUUAAUAUUUUGCAACAAAAAACAUUCAGAGAGAGAGAGAGAGAGAGAUGAAGAAUCCAUUGUUAUCUGUAGUGUUAAAGAACUCUGAUGUGGCGUCCUCGACUUCGUAUUGUGUGAAGGAGAGAAGGCCUUGUGUUGGAUGGGUUGAUAAAUAUUUUAAAGAUUGUUUGUGUGACACUAGAGACAAGCUUUCGUUUGCUUCUGGUAUGUUGAGUUUAAUCAGCUGGGGAGUUGCUGAAAUCCCUCAGAUUAUCACCAACUUUCGGUCUAAAUCCAGCCAUGGUGUCUCCCUUUUGUUUCUCCUCACUUGGGUUCUUGGGUAACUCUCUCUCUCUCUCUCUCCCCCUCUCUCUCUCCCUCUCUCUCUCUCUCUCUGACUCUCCCUCCCUCUCUCUCUCUCUCUCUCUCUCUCUCUCUCUCCCUCUCUCUCUCCCUCUCCCUCUCUCUCUCUCUCUCUCUCUCUGACUCUCUCCCUCUCUCUCUCCCUCUCUCUCUCUCUUACCCCCCUCUCUCCCAUACACACGUAGCGAAUAAUGAAUUUUCUUGAUUUUUAUGUUAUUAAUUUUCUUGAAAUAUUUAUGGUGCAGUGAUAUCUUUAAUCUGAUCGGGUGUCUUCUUGAACCUGUAACGGUGAGUAUAAUUCACUAUAGUUGUAUAAUUUCCUUCCCUUUUUUGUCACACAUGUAUUUACAUAUGUUUCCAUGUAUAUUAAAUAAUAACGAUAUCACUGAUUAAUCAUUCUGAUCACACUUUUUUAUUAAUGAUGCAGCUCCCAACCCAGUACUACACUGCCCUGGUAUGAAUCCCACUUGUUUCCACAUUUGCUAUUGCAAUUUACUUUAGUAAUAUUUCAAGCAAAAAAUUGAUUUAAUCAGAUUAAAUAGAGGAUAAAUUAGCAUUUUGGUCAGGUUUAAGAGUUGCUUAUGUUCGAAAAAUAGCUAAAAUGUACUUCUAAUGACAAAAUUUGAUCAUGGUACGAAAAAAAUUAGCCAAACGGGUUUGUUCAAUUCGGCUCGUUUUAAGUUUUGAUGAAAGUGCAUGUUCGGUUUAUAAUUGUGAUGAUAUUGUUGAUUGAACAGCUCUAUACAACAAGUACGGUGAUAUUAGUGCUGCAGUGCCUGUACUAUGAUCAUGUUUAUAGUUGGUGGAAAAGCAAAAAAGUGGAUGCUAAUCAACCGGUGCAAAUUUCUCUCCACUCUUCUAGCAUUUCGAUCAGAAUGGUCUUUGUCGUGUUGGUUUUACUUGUCGAUAACAUAAAUUUUAUAUGCUUGACAGAUUGAAGAUGUGAAGAAACCUCUAAAACCAGCAAAGGAAAAUGAUGACGAUGACUCUGCAAUUCCAGCUACUGAUGAAGGCAAAAUCAACAGUAACUUCUAUUUCACGUAUGUGGGAGUUUUAGAUUUUUUUUAAAUGGUGUGCGGAAUGCUGAUUGUUUUUUACUUUUUAGUCUUGAAAAUAUAUAUUUGUUUGUUUUUGUACUAAAGUUCCUAUCUCUAUGAUUUUCAUCUAUUAAUAGAGACUCUGGAUAAUGAAAUUGCAGAUCAGCACGUUCUUUGGCGGGCAGUGCUACACCACCUAAUCGGUCUUAUCUAUGGACUGCAAGAAGUGGUCCUUCAGCAUUGACACUUGACGGGGACUCAUCUUCUGAUGAUGAGGUGGAUGCUGCUGUAAUGACGAACAAGAAAUCCAAAACCCAACCAAAGCCAAUCCCGCGUUCUGUGAGUUAUUACAUUCUAGUUACAACUAGUUGGACUUAUUAUGUAUGUGCCUUGUAAUAUGAUUAAGAAACGUGUUUUUUUAUUCAGACGUUUAAUGCCAGGUUAAGAAAUGUAGCAUUUAAUAGAUAUAGCAUUAAUAUAUCUAAAGCGGAUUUGCAAACAUACUGUGUGUGUAUGAGGAUGAUUAUCGAUGCAUAUACCUAUUUGCACAGUUAUAUAUAUUUCAUAAGUACUAAUACAACGUAUCAUGUUUUACCAGGCUGGUUAUGGUGCAUUUCUAGCUACUUCACUCAACCUGCCAAGAAGCACCAAAGCUCUACUCCAAGCUUCCGUAGCAUUUAGUGGGAGGAAACUCUUACAAGUAAGACGACAAUCAACAUUUAUUUCAAUAGUAGGCAUACUUUUUCAAUGAAUUGCGUUUGAAUGAUAAUGAUUAAUGUAUAUCAUUUGACAAAUUAUCUGAGCAGGGGAAUGCAGAUACAGAAAAAUUUGUGGUCGGCCAGUGCUUAGGUUGGAUGAUGGCUGCUGUGUACAUGGGUGGCCGAAUCCCUCAAAUUUACUUAAAUGUGAGUGCCUAAACAAUCCACAGUUUACAGCUGAAUACACAACUUUCUUCAUUCAAGCAAUUGUACUUCUAUAAUUACUUCUACAUUGCCUUGCCUGACAUUUAUAUAUUGGAUUCAUUUUUCAGAUUAAAAGAGGAAGCGUUGAGGUAAAAAACUUAACCCGCGAACAUGAAAUAUCAUAUACAUCAAAACCGACUUGUAGCUGAUCUAUAUAUGAUCAAUGACGACGAUUUAAAGCUUUCAACUUAAUCUUCUUUAUACCUGACAUGUAGGGACUGAAUCCUCUCAUGUUUAUCUUUGCACUCAUUGCCAAUGUCGCUUAUGUGGGAAGGUGCAUAUCUUAUAUAUAUAUGUUCAUUCUCUUUUCAGAAUCGUUGCUUCACUUUUAGUGGCACUCACUAUUACUUUGCCUGUAAUUGAUUUCAGCAUUCUCAUACGAAGCACGGAAUGGGAUAAAAUAAAGGCCAAUAUGCCAUGGUUGUUGGAUGCAGUAGUCUGCGUUGGACUCGACUUAUUUGUAUCCUCUUCUAAUUCUUAUAAUAUUUACUUAUACUCGAAACUUUAUGCAUUCAUAUUCCCCACCCACACACAACAGAUAUUUCUGACAAACAUUCAUUCUCUAUGACAUCUGCUACUAUUACUACUUGCAGGCCUUUAUUACCCGAAUAAAUUUCUAUCACUGUUUUUCGUCUUUUUGAUGUUUUGUCUCAACUUCGAAAUAACUGCAUUCAUCUUAUGCCUCAGACAUGAUGCAUAUGACAAGUUGUGUUCACCUUAACAUAGAUUACCACAGAUAAUAUUACAGUACAUCUACUACAGAUACCUCGGGAAGCGGACUGCUGGUGGGAGAGGACAAGAUGAUGACUAUUCGGAGAGCCCAUGAAACAAUGAUGCAGAAUGUUCCUGGCUCUCCAUUGCUUGCUGAUGAAGGCUACAGAGAUGAGAAAUCGCAUGAAUAAAUUAGUUUGUCUGGUGUAGCAGCUUUAAACUAGUUAGAGUAUGUAGUAUCAUGACUAUAUAGAACUUUGAGCAAGCCUAUAUUUCGUAUGAAUUAAUCAUGUAGAUGAAUCUGUAAUCGAGCUGAGUCGAGUCGAGUGAAGCUAUAAUUUGAAAAUAGUACAAUAGUUGCAUUGCAAAAUCGUACAAGGUUUUUUCACCCAGACACUUUCUGGAUCCCAUAGCAUCUCAAGCUUUAGAUCAUUUGCCUCUUUAAGUUCUUUCUUUUUCGUCAAUUUCGCAAGGGUCUUUCUGGUACGUGCAAACUAUUUUUUUAGAUAGAAGAUUUUAUUAGUAUCUAUCUCUAUUAACGAGACAGACCUUUGUACCAAGUUGGUUUCAAAAAAGAAAAAUAAAUCUGAAGCCCUACAGGAUUCUUCCGGACCAACAGCAGCACCAAGAAUAUCAUGUUAUAGGCCCAAAUACGAGGCUUAUGUGAUUUUCGGCCCCAUUUGUCUUAACAAAUUUAAGCUUUCUUCAAAUAAUUAGUAUUGACACAAUAAGUAUACUAAUUUUGUAUGUCAAACGCUAGCAAAUAAUUCAUAUUUAACUGUAAAUUAAAAUAAAAGGUAAGAAUUAUCCGGAAAAGGUCAUAAAUUUUACUUUCAAACUUUUAAAUUUAACUUGUGAAACUACUAUAGUGAUGAAAUAUGCAAGAUUUAUGAUGGAAAACAUGUUUCUUGUACUCUUUUCUUGAUAUUCAACAUAUCUAUACAAUCUAUAUACAUUAUUAAAUUUAAAUAUGUAAAAAUUUGGUCGUAGUCGAGUAAAUUCAACUCUUUAUUCACUUAAAUCAAAUUAGUUAGAGCAUCUCCAAUAACUUCUUUAUAGAAGCUCCUAAAUUGAAAUUCGAAGAGAAUUGUAAUUUUGCUUGUUCCAAUAGAUACCUAAUCACUCUUAAAUUCCUCAAAUUUCUCUUCUCUCUCCUCACUUUUAGGAGCUACUGGUCACUCUUAACUACUCUCUCUAUCCCAUUUUAACUGAUGUUUGACUUUUUGACACGUAUAUUGAGAUGCAAAAAACUUAUAUCUACACUUAAUAAAAAAUUCAAUUUUUAUAUCAAAUUAAAGUUUAGAUUCUAAACUUUUAUUUGAUAUAAAUUUUAUAAAGAAUGAUUAUGUUUAGAUAUGAUUUUUUUAACACCUUAAAAUACGUGUAAAAAAGUCAAAAGCAGUUAAAUGGGACGGAGGGAGUAUUAUUUUAUAAUAAAUUUGUAAGCAAACAUUCUCUCUCCAUCCACUUUCUUUUGUACCUUUAUGCACAUGACUUACUUUUAAUAAUAUAAAAUACGGUCUUUCUAAUGUGUGCCCAAGGGCACACAAUAAGCACCAACUCUCAUGAAAAUGACUUCAUUUGAUUGGUGGAAUUGGUGUAAAUGCAGGGGGGGGUCACCAAUAUUUAUUAUUCAUCUACCAAUCAAAAAUUAGUAUUCACAUGGGAGUUAGUGACUAUUGUGUGCCCAUGGGCACACCAUAGAAAAUUCGUAUAAAAUAAAAUAAAGAGUGAAUAUAAAGAGUGUUGUUGAAGUUGAACCCACAUUAACUCACUAAGAGUCAAUAUUUUAUAUUAUAUUUAGGAGUGAGUUAAGAGACUAUUGGAGAUGCUCUUAGAAACGUUAACGUUAGACCAUAUAUCCGUGGAUAACUAUUCCGUCACAUACUAAAACUAAUAAUAUAUUAUUAUAACAACAAAAUAUGAUACUCCCUCCGUCUCAUUUUAUAAGUCUCUUUUGGGAAAAAAAAAACUUGUCUCUUGCUUUUAGCCACCAUGAAUCAUCAAUUUUGCUUGUUGCCUGCAUAAAUCAUGGCCAGUUUAUUUUGGAAAAGAGUAUGAACACCAGUUAUUUUGACUUUUGAGGUCGGAUUCUCGGUUAAUUUGGUAGCUGUCCUCCCAAUCUUCAGUGACAGAUAGCGACUGAGCAUGAAUCUGGAGAAUUCCUGAAAUGCAGGGCAGUUUAAAAAAACCAUGCAAUUGAGCUCUAAGUCCUCUGAACUUGUUGCAACAUGAGACUUCUUUUUGGUAGCUGGCCUCUCAAUCUUUAGUGACAGAUAGCGACUGAGCGUGUCAUUUACAACCUGAUGCCAAUAACAUUUGUCCACGUGAAUCCGAAGAAUUUCCUGAAAUGCAGCUUUGUUCAGAGGGUCAGGUCUGACAAGUAAUUGUUGUAGCGAUCUACCUGUUAGUAAUUUUUUAUAACGAAAAGACAUCAACCAAAUUUUUAUGUGCAUGAAGGGGAGCCAUUACUCUAACUGCCUUAGAUACCCGGUCUAGACAUGUUGGCAACAAUCACUUACAAUCACUUGUCAGGAUCAUCUCCAUCGUUGAAACAAUAACAGAAUGACACUUGUGGCGGAAUUGAAUGCAUCAAUGCAGAUCUUACCGGUAUGCAUAUAGUGAAAACUGAUCUCUUUGUCAUGUCAGUUUUGUAUUCAGAGCAGAUACAGACAUAUGGGGAGUGAAAGAUGCCUACGGGCAACUUUUUAACUUCAUCACAUUGAAGCGUGAAUAAACGCCCUGCUGGUCCUCAGAUUUUUGAGUACGAAGGUAAGUGAAAUGAAAUUUAUAGAGUUUCGGUCACUAGUUCCAAUUUUAAUAAAUCAAAUAAUGAAAUAUUUAGGUUAUUUUAUUGACGGUUCUUGAAUUGUUUCAAGGGCUAAAAUAUGUGAAACAUACUAGUUAUUUACAAUAUUUAUGGAUGGCUCUCAAAUUUUAAGGAUGAUAACAAUUAAUAAAUGAUUAACUAAAAAGUAUGUGCAAGAGAUUCCAAUGACUUUAGUUCUAUUGCUAAUAAGAAGUGAAACAUGCAAUUUAUUGUUCGACGCAAUCUUAUCUUAUCAGAGCAUUUUUAAUGAUAUUGAUUAUAAGCGUAAGCUAAAUUGAGAUUAUGAUAUAUUAUAUAAAAUCGGUUGAAUUUUUAAAAUAUUUUACUUAGAUGAUAUUGAUUAUCUUUUCACUUGUUUUUUUCUCUAAAAAGGGCUUUGAGAUCAAAACAAAUAUAAAUGUUAUUAUUUUCUCCAUCUGUCAUCUGAUUUUUUUAUUUAAAGUUUGAGAGUUCGAAUUCGGAAAUCCGGACAACAUAUACCGUGGAGGGUAAAAACGGUAGUGUCGAAAUCCAGCAUCUCGUUAAUUUUAAAUUAAAAUACACAGCAGCAUUUUGGCUACUGUUAAAUCGAAAUAUAAGNACAGACAUAUGGGGAGUGAAAGAUGCCUACGGGCAACUUUUUAACUUCAUCACAUUGAAGCGUGAAUAAACGCCCUGCUGGUCCUCAGAUUUUUGAGUGCGAAGGUAAGUGAAAUAAAAUUUAUAGAGUUUCGGUCACUAGUUCCAAUUUUAAUAAAUCAAAUAAUGAAAUAUUUAGGUUAUUUUAUUGACGGUUCUUGAAUUGUUUCAAGGGCUAAAAUAUGUGAAACAUACUAGUUAUUUACAAUAUUUAUGGAUGGCUCUCAAAUUUUAAGGAUGAUAAUAAUUAAUAAAUGAUUAACUAAAAAGUAUGUGCAAGAGAUUCCAAUGACUUUAGUUCUAUUGCUAAUAAGAAGUGAAACAUGCAAUUUAUUGUUCGACGCAAUCUUAUCUUAUCAGAGCAUUUUUAAUGAUAUUGAUUAUAAGCGUAAGCUAAAUUGAGAUUAUGAUAUAUUAUAUAAAAUCGGUUGAAUUUUUAAAAUAUUUUACUUAGAUGAUAUUGAUUAUCUUUUCACUUGUUUUUUUCUCUAAAAAGGGCUUUGAGAUCAAAACAAAUAUAAAUGUUAUUAUUUUCUCCAUCUGUCAUCUGAUUUUUUUAUUUAAAGUUUGAGAGUUCGAAUUCGGAAAUCCGGACAACAUAUACCGUGGAGGGUAAAAACGGUAGUGUCGAAAUCCAGCAUCUCGUUAAUUUUAAAUUAAAAUACACAGCAGCAUUUUGGCUACUGUUAAAUCGAAAUAUAAGAUAUUUAACAUGAGUAGGAGAAUCGAGACCCCGUGAAGCACAUGGGCACAUAAAAUAAAGGAGUGAAUAUAAUCUUCAAAGUUAGAACACCGCACUUGCAGCUUUUUUCAUGUAAAAACGAGAACUUGUCUGCAUCCAUCUCUAAAGCGUAUUCGUAAAUUUGUAGGCGAGCAUAGCUCUGUCACAGCUGAAUAUUUGUGCACAUAAAGAGCCAUCAAUUAUUAAUAUGGUUGUAGUCAAUCAAAAUUUAUACAUAAUUCUGUCAAAAAAAAUAUACAUAAUUAUAAAAUAAUUAUUAAUAUAUGUCUAUGACUAUGAGCAUACAGAAAAUCCGUUAAUUUAAUAACAAGAAAAUUAUGAAAUUAUAAAAAUUGUAAUGGGUAUAUAAUUGUCAUAUGGCAUUGUAUUUCUAUCUAGAAUAAAAAAUAAAAAUUACCGAUGAUUUACAUCAGGAUCCGCAAUAUUCAUGAGUAUGCAAGUAGUGGUAGAUGCCUGUGAAAAAGAAAACAAAGUAGUGGUAGAUGCCAACUUAAUUGAAGCUACCUACCAGCAUCUUAUUCAUGCAUUUAUAUCGGUAGUCUUUAUUUUCUUUCAAAGAAGCGCAUCUCACUAUCCAGUGGCGGAUCUGACUAUGAAGUUAAGGGGGGUCAAUUUUUUUGUAAAAAAAAUUAAAAGGGGUCACAAAAAAAUUAAGGGGGGUCAGUUGCCCCCUCUUGCCCCUUUUAAGAUCCGCCUCUGUCACUAUCGGCAGUGAAUUGCAUGUUUCCAGGUCGGUAUUACUUUCAACCGUUUUGAAAGAACGGUCCUCUGUUUCUGAUGUUUAUGUAAUGUACCGUCAUAUAUUUUAGUACUCUUUCCGUAUUUUUUUAAUUAUCAUAUUUGGUUUGUACCCGUUAAAAUGAUCAAAGUUGAUUAAAUUUAUUAAUAUUUUAUCAAUUGAUAAAAUUAAAAAUAUGUCUCCGAAAAAAACUUUUAAUCUACCUUAGAGUGUAAUUUUCAGUUUUUUAAAAUAAUAAAAGAGUGGCUUAUAAUCUUUGGUAAAAAAUUAGUCAAUUUGACUAACAAAAAUUAAAAUGUGACAAUUAAAAAGAGACGGAGUGAGUAAUGUUUAUGAAAAUUUUAAAAUAUGAUUUCUAACUAAUAAUAAAUGUUUCUUAUAUUUUAAGUUACAUAUUAAUCUUGUUCAUAAUCUUUAUUUAAAAAUUUCAAAUUUCUAAUCACAAACUAUUUACUUGGAUGAUUUGUAACUUCCCGAUAAGCAAAGACACAAUGCAAUUUUAUUGACACAUACCGCAUCUGCGCUUUGGGAGGACUAUGACUUAUGACUCGUCUUUCCUUCCGUUUGGUUCAAAAAGACUAUUCCAUUAUAAAAGUUUCCAGAGAAUUGACUUUUCCUAUUAAGUAAUGAAUGAAUUGAAAUGACCUAAUCGAUGAUGACUCUUCGCAUUUUAUGCAAGUAAAUAUACUGUAGUCAAAUUAUAAUUUACAUGCAUUUUAGAAACUCAACCCCUAUUUAUACAACUGCUAAAUCAUCGUCAAAGUUCGACCUGGCUCACAGGGGUGGCAAUUUCGAGUAAGGGGUUGUGUUUGAGUCAGCAAUCGGGUUGAUUUCAGGUCAAAUUAAAAUCACUUAAAAUUAAAUAAAACUGAAAAUUGAAAUUAUUAGGAACGAAAUUCUAAUUUGGGGUCCAUUUCGUGUGAAUCAGAUGAUUUUCGGAUCACUUUUGGGUUUUGUCUCAGUAAAUCGGGUUGCGGAUUCGGGUCGAGUUCGAAUCGGCCUCGGGCCCUGUCUGAUAUCGUCACCCCUACAUUGACCAGGAAAUAUUACCUAUUUAAUAUAUUCAUCAAAUACUUUCUCUAAUAUAUAUUACAUAGAAUAUUUGGGGGUUUUCACGUUAUUUCAAUAAAUUUUACUCUAUAGUUAAACUAAUUUGCUUCUCUUAAGAAAAUUUUGAUGAGAAAUAUGUAUUUUAAUCUCACAGUGAGAAUAUCCCAAAUUCGUGAAAAAUUUAAAUUGGAAAAUUUUCUUUAAAAUGUUUGGAAAUCCUAACAAACAUGCAAUCGAAAGCAUUCAAUAGUAUUAAAAGGUAGGAAUUUGUCUUGAUUAGUGAAUACACAAAAUAAAGAUCGGUUCGAUUGAUCAGAAAUUAAUCAGAUAAUCAGUUAAAAUAACUAAAAAUUUAAUAUUUUAGCAUGUUAUAAAAUAAAAAAUAAUCGAUGAUUAAUAACGAUAAUUACUGAAUUUUAGAACAAUAAUGAAUAAGCCUUUUGAAACAUGUGACACCAAAAAGAAUUCAAAUAUUUAAGGGCCCAUUUGUUAACGGGUUAACGAAACAACCUCAACUGGAUGAGCGCAGAAUAUGUCAUUAAGUUUGUUUGACAAAUUUUUUAAAUAGCUGGACGAACCAUAAAUCAACUGGACGAAACACCUCAAAAAUAUGAGGGUCUCUCGUCCAGGAGUCUACACUCUCCUAUUAUUCUCUUUACUGCUUUCAUGUUGGAUAACUAUGCAUGUUAUAUUUUGAUUUUUAAUAAUAUAAUAAUCUUUUAAAUAGAAAUUUUCGUCUUAUAAUUAAAUUAUUUUAAUCAUGUGCACUAUCAUUAAUAGGUCUAUAAUUAUAUAUGAUAGAAUACUCGAUUACACAAUAAUCAAAUAAUUAUAAAUAAUUGUAAGGAUUAAAUAUAUAUACAAUAUAAUAAUAAUAAUAAUAAUAAUUGAUAUAUUAUCUUCAUUUAUAAUAAAAAAUUAAAACUCAAGAAUUAUUAAUUUAAUAAUCAAAAUAGCAAAAUCUAUUGUAUGGGCUAAUGGAGGGUUUUUAGAAAUACCAACACUAAUAAUAAUAGAAAUAUUGUUCAGAAGAAUCUAAUAAUUUAACAAACAACAUUGUUCGUGCAGUAUUCAGAUUUAUUAAUCAUUCAGAAUCUUGAUGAUCCAGAAAAAUUUGUUCAGAUUUAACAAAUGACCCCUAAGUCUCCACUAACAAAAACACACCAUGUUAAAUCCUUAUUCCACAAAAUCAAGUAAAACCCAAUUGAACGCAUGUCUUCAGAGUCAAGAAACAACAUGAAUGAUAAAUUUGAUAUAAAAAAAAACAUGAAUGAUAAAUUAGUAAUCAACCCAAAACAUUAAAUUUGGUAAAUUAACCAAAACCUAUAUUUUAAUACCCAGAACAAAAUAUAUAACAAAAGGCAUGCACGUUUAUAUAACACCAACCAAUAUCUCCAUGUCCACAAAUCCUUCACACCCUCUCCCUAAUUUAAUCUUUCGCCUCUAACACCCCCCAUUCUUCAUCUUAAACCCCCCUCUACCCCCACAAUAUUACUAACAUUUUUCGUGUCUAUAGGCCGGAAAAAAUAAAAAUUCCGAUGCUUAAGAUUUUAUAUUAUUUGACGGAGCAUCCGUUGAUCAUUAAUUUCCGGUGUAGAUAAAUUUUGAUCUGUCAUUUGUUCCCUGACCUACUCACCCUCUUCCCUCUCCUCUCAUCUUCACGACCUAACUUGAGAUGAAAUUAAUUAUUUCCUUAUUAUUGUUCACUUCUUGCAAGUGCCAAAUUCUGAAUCUAUCAAAGAGGAUGUUUUUCUGCGUAUGUUUGUGUAAGUGGUACUCAUACAUCAGUUAUUCUUCCAGGAGUAUAUUUAACAUAGUUGAUGAUGACCCUACCCCAAGAGAAGAAGUUUUUAUGUAUGGCCAAAGUUUGGUUGAGAAAAAAUGGCCGGGUCACACAAGACAAUUAACCUCUCAUGAAAGGGCAGAGUCAUCAUUCUCUAAGGCAAAUGUAAGAGGUGACAAAAGAGUAUCGAAUGCUCGUAUGAAGAAAGAACUAGGAGUACAGCUGCGACAUCCUAGUUAUAGGUCUGGAUUGCAAAGCAUUCUUGAGCAUCUGGGCCUUUCUAUGAACACCCCUGGGUAAUGUCGCAGAAUCUAAAUGUCCUUGAUUGAUUCAAGAC